rnacentral:rRNA from 1 species
AUAUCAGUAAGCGGAGGAAAAGAAAUCAACAGAGAUUGCCUUAGUAGGGGCGACUGAACAGGCAACAGCCCAAGCUUAAAAUCUCCGUUCUUCGAACGGCGAAUUGUAAUCUCGAGAAGUCAUAAAGGCGCGGCCGAUCGUAUAAUUAUCCCUUUGACGGGUAGACAAAGAGGGUACCAUCCCCGUAGUUGACGAAAGGCCACAACCAAUUAUAGCUUCCACAGAGUCGAGCUUCUUGGGACUGAAGCUCAAAGCGGAGAUGAA